AUCGCUUCUCGGCCUUUUGGCUAAGAUCAAGUGUAUAAUUUCUAUACUGCUGAUAUUUUAUUGGACUGCUUUUUUAAAGAAAUUCUUUCUGUCAUUGGAGCAGAGCAUAUUACAUAUUUAUCAGAUUAAAAAAUAUUAUAAAACAACAAUC
rnacentral:snRNA from 1 species